CAACAACGUAAAAUUAUAUAUUACCCUAGUUUGGGUUCAAGGAUUUAUUAUUAAGAUUUUAGAUGAAAAUUCUAUUUUAAUAUCAGAUGGAACUGGUUAUAUAGAUGUUUUUGGCUAUAAUAAAGUUCCAAACGGAUGUUUAGAUCAUAAAAUUGGCAUGUAUAUUGCUGUCUUAGGUGGUAUUCAAGACUCAAUAAAUAAUCAUAAAGCAAAUAAUUCUCUACAAUGUUCUAAAGCUAUAAAAGC